UUAGAAAGAUAGGGAUU
rnacentral:tRNA from 1 species